CCUCAAUCAGACACGGCUGUGCCGUCCUCUCGUCCUGCUGUGCAAGGGCUCGACCGAAACGUCAUCACCUUGCUGCUUGAUAUUAAAAGAAGCGUGAAGUUGGUAGAGCAGCGCCUUGAGACAGUUGAUUGUUUCAUAGACACAUAUUGCCAAGGGAAGUCUGACGGGAUACCAAACUUCCCAUAUCUUCCAGCCAGCACCGAGAAUUAACUUCUGCAGUUGGAAACACUGCUAUGUGAGGACCCUGCCAGGGUACACCUGGUCGAACUUUUGUCACGCAUGGGUGGAAACUCUAUGCAAGAAACUGUUUGUCUGUUCAUGAACCGAGUGAUGAGGAACACGGUAGCACUGGAGUACAGCCGGAAAGGGGCGCAACAAAAAAAGAACUUUUCGUCUUUGCGGCUCUACUCUUGCGUUGUUGAUGUGUUGCUCAAGAGGUACCAGACAGCCACCGAGCAACAAAUUGAUGGGAGAAUUGGAC